rnacentral:rRNA from 1 species
AUUGAACGCUGGCGGCGUGCUUAACACAUGCAAGUCGAUCGGUAACGCGGGGGCAACCCUGGCGACGAGAGGCGGACGGGUGAGGAACGCUUGGGAAUCUGCCUAUCAGCGGGGGACAACCCGGGGAAACCCGGGCUAAUACCGCAUACGCUCUACGGAGGAAAGCCGGGGACCGCAAGGCCUGGCACUGAUCGAUGAGCCCAAGUCGGAUUAGCUAGUUGGCGGGGUAACGGCCCACCAAGGCGACGAUCCGUAGCUGGUCUGAGAGGACGAUCAGCCACACCGGAACUGAGACACGGUCCGGACUCCUACGGGAGGCAGCAGUGGGGAAUAUUGGACAAUGGGCGAAAGCCUGAUCCAGCGACGCCGCGUGGGUGAAGAAGGCCUGCGGGUUGUAAAGCCCUUUCGGUAGGGACGAAAGCUCUUGCUCUAACAAAGCAGGAGGUUGACUUAACCUACAUAAGAAGCACCGGCUAACUCUGUGCCAGCAGCCGCGGUAAAAC